rnacentral:rRNA from 1 species
AUGGAGAGCAGUGAACCACUCCAGGAUAUAAUGUGUGAGUUCCGUGCUGGUAAGAUGUCUCUUGAGGGAACACGGGUGGUCCCAGACACACGCAAGGGGCUUGUUCGUAUUGGAAAGGGUGAAGAAGGCUUGAUUCAUUUUCAGUGGCUUGACCGUGGACAAAACAUAGUUGAAGAUGAUCAAAUUGUCUUCCCUGAUGAGGCUGUCUUUGAGAAGGUAACAGAAUCUUCUGGAAGGGUGUACAUCUUGAAGUUCAGGCAUGAUAGCAGGAAAUUCUUCCUAUGGAUGCAGGAGACAAAUGCUGAUGGGGACUCGCAAAUAUGCCGCCAAGUUAAUGCCUACAUAAAUCGGCCCUUGGAUGGCGAUGCAAUUUCUAUUGAGGCAGAAAUGUCACACGAGGAUACAGCUGAUGAUGACAUCUCUUCCAGAGCUGGGAAUUUAGUUGAUCAGAGCAUGACCGCUGAUAUGGCUGGUGAAGUGACUUCUGCCGCUGGACCUGUACGACUGGCUGACCUUCAGAGAAUAUUGAGUUCUAUACAACCAUCUGAUGCUACGGCAGAUCCUGAUGCUGGAUUGAGACUAGGAGACAUCUUGAAGCCCGAUUUGAUAUUGCCACUAAUUGAAACUUUGCCCAUCGAACAGUUGGCAUCACAUCUUCCAGAGGGUUCUUGGACUGCUGGUGAUAUUCUUGAGCUGCUGCAAAGUCCUCCUUUGCGACAGCAACUGGAUGCUUUUACUCAUGUGCUGCAGACUGGCCAAAUAGAUCUUGCUCAAUUUGGGGUGGACCCUAGCAAAUAUAAGUUCACAGUUGCCUCAUUCCUGGAGGCAUUGGAAGACUCCGUGGCAAAAGCUUCCACAGAUGGAGGCAAUGAUUCAAAGGCCAAGAAAGACGGUGGAAAUGAUCCCAUGGACGAGAGUUGA